UAGCAAUCGUAUAGCAUUGCUGAGCUGAUGCAACACUAAUGGUUGUCAACUUGCGUAAUCCAAAUGAAUCCAUAUACCAGAAAAACAAUACUCCACAAAAUUAUUUCCGCAAAGAAAGAAUAUCAAACAUAAAAGUUACAAACAAAAAAAAAAAAAAAAAAUUUUGACCGUUGGAUAUGAUUAAAACCAGACCAAACCAGAAUCAAAACCAGGGAGAUCCUUCAGUCUGGUUCCCGUCCCCAUGGCCGUAGAACUGGAACAGGACCAUGGCCAAGCCUGAGGUAGAGCACUUGGCAUGUGCAAUGAAAGUACACAUCAAACAAACAAAGGUCAGAUGAAGCAAGACAAAAAAAUACCAUAUAAAUUCUCAAACGGGAAAAACAAAGGAAAGAAAGGGGAGGGGGAAAAAAUCCUCUGCAUAAAACUGAGCAAGGUGAAUGAAUAUGUAAAUCAAGAUUUAUUACAACUUCAAAAUUUCACUGGAACAAAAUAAAAAAGUUGAAUUCUAGUUAAUACUUUGGACGUUGGUGAUUAGCAGGAUUACAAGUGAUUAAAUGAUAAAAAGAGAAUUGCAAUAAGUCAUUCAAAAGUCCUAAGCUCAGUUUGGCAAAGGCCAACAAAGUGACCCAAUUGAUAUGGCCAUGAAGGAAACAAAGUUCCAUAUAGUUGAAAAUGAAAUAAUAAUUUUGAUCCAUAAAAAGGAAUAGAAUGGCAAAUUCUAUCAUUUCUUAACGAAAACUGAGUAAUUUCUACAACAAAAAACUAGUAGCUAGUAGGUGAUAAUUGACUGCCCAAUCACACAUGACAAUUCUAUAUAGCGUACACUUAAUUUUAUAAGUUUUAUAUCACAUGCACAACAAUUAAACCACAAUUUAGCUGGAAUAGUUGAAUGCAAAAAGAUAAUUGAAGGAAAUGCCAAAUGCAAAUACAUAAUGCAACCUCCACUACAAGAAUUCAUUUCAGCAUCCAUAUUCUCAGGAGCAGACGAUAUAAAUAUAAAAUUUAUACUAAACGCUAUCACGAAACUUCUUCAUUUCAACAGCUAAAACUGGGAAUGUAUUUCAGUACUAUCAAGUUGACACCAGAAAAAGCAUCCCCAGAAAACCAUUGUCGACAAACAUCUUCAGAUCGAAACUAAACCAAAGCUACAUUUUACUUUUCCAUUCCUAAAUCACUUAAAUUAAAAGAGCAGCUUAAUAGUUCUAUCUGUAUCGAGAUCAAAGCAUUCACAUGCUUAGAAGAAAAAAAAAAAUCACACACAUAAAUGAGAUUUUAAAACAUAUAUAUACCAUCGAAAUCUUCAUUGUCAGGAA
rnacentral:misc_RNA from 1 species